rnacentral:rRNA from 1 species
ACUCCUACGGGAGGCAGCAGUGGGGAAUAUUGGACAAUGGGCGCAAGCCUGAUCCAGCCAUGCCGCGUGAGUGAUGAAGGCCCUAGGGUUGUAAAGCUCUUUCACCGGUGAAGAUAAUGACGGUAACCGGAGAAGAAGCCCCGGCUAACUUCGUGCCAGCAGCCGCGGUAAUACGAAGGGGGCUAGCGUUGUUCGGAUUUACUGGGCGUAAAGCGCACGUAGGCGGACUAUUAAGUCAGGGGUGAAAUCCCGGGGCUCAACCCCGAAACUGCCUUUGAUACUGGUAGUCUUGAGUUCGAGAGAGGUGAGUGGAAUUCCGAGUGUAGAGGUGAAAUUCGUAGAUAUUCGGAGGAACACCAGUGGCGAAGGCGGCUCACUGGCUCGAUACUGACGCUGAGGUGCGAAAGCGUGGGGAGCAAACAGGAUUAGAUACCCCUGUAGUCCCAUGA